rnacentral:tRNA from 1 species
GUGUCUGUAGCGCAGUUGGUAGCGCGCCUGCUUUGGGAGCAGGAGGACGCGAGUUCGAACCUCGCCGGACGCA